UCACACACACACACACACACACGGUCGUUUUGUUCACACACACACACACACACACACACACACACACGGUCGUUUUGUUCACACACACACACUGUCGUUUUGUUCACACACACACACAAGGUCGUUUUGUUCACACACACACACACACAAAUGGUCGUUUUGUUCACACACACACACGGUCGUUUUGUUCACACACACACACGGUCGUUUUGUUCACACACACACACGGUCGUUUUGUUCACACACACACACGGUCGUUUUGUUCACACACACACACGGUCGUUUUGUUCACACACACACGGUCGUUUUGUUCACAAACACACACACACGGUCGUUUUGUUCACACACACACACGGUCGUUUUUUUUUCACACACACACACACACACACGGUCGUUUUGUUCUCUCACACACACACGGUCGUUUUGUUCACACACACACACACACACGGUCGUUUUGUUCACACACACACGGUCGUUUUGUUCACACACAACACACACACACGGUCGUUUUGUUCACACACACACACACACGGUCGCUUCGUUCACACACACACACACACACACACGGUCGUUUUGUUCACACACACACACACACGGUCGUUUUGUUCACACACACACACGGUCGUUUUGUUCACACACACACACGGUCGUUUUGUUCACACACACACACACACGGUCGUUUUGUUCACACACACACACACACACACACACACACGGUCGUUUUGUUCACACACACACACACACACGGUCGUUUUGUUCACACACACACACAUGGUCGUUUUGUUCACACACACACACACGGUCGUUUUGUUCACACACACACACACGGUCGUUUUGUUCACACACACACACACGGUCGUUUUGUUCACACACACACACACACAGUCGUUUUGUUCACACACACGCACACACACACACGGUCGUUUUGUUCACACACACACACACACGGUCGUUUUGUUCACACACACACACACGGUCGUUUUGUUCACACACAUACACACACACACACACACACACACACACGGUCGUUUUGUUCACACACACACACACACACACACACACGGUCGUUUUGUUCACACACACACACGGUCGUUUUGUUCACACACACACACGGUCGUUUUGUUCACACACACACACGGUCGUUUUGGUCACACACACACACGGUCGUUUUGUUCACACACACACGGUCGUUUUGUUCACAAACACACACACACACACGGUCGUUUUGUUCACACACACACACGGUCGUUUUUUUCACACACACACACACACACACACACACACACACACCACGGUCGUUUUGUUCUCUCACACACACACGGUCGUUUUGUUCCACACACACACACACACGGUCGUUUUGUUCACACACACACGGUCGUUUUGUUCACACACACACACACACACACACGGUCGUUUUGUUCACACACACACACACACACACGGUCGCUUUGUUCCACACACACACACACACACGGUCGUUUUGUUCACACACACACACACGGUCGUUUUGUUCACACACACACACACACGGUCGUUUUGUUCACACACACAUACACGGUUGUUUUGUUCACACACACGGUCGUUUUGUUCACACACACGGUCGUUUUGUUCACACACACACACGGCCGUUUUGUUCACACACACACACGGCCGUUUUGUUCACACACACACGGUCGUUUUGUUCACACACACACACACAUACACACGGUAGGUUUGUUCUCACACACACACACACACACACACACGGUCGUUUUGUUCACACACACACACACGGUCGUUUUGUUCACACACACGGUCGUUUUGUUCACACACACACACACACGGUCGUUUUGUUCACACACACACACGCGUCGUUUUGUUCCACACACACACACACGGUCGUUUUGUUCACACACACACACACACGGUCGUUUUGUUCACACACACACACGGUCGUUUUGUUCACACACACACACGGUCGUUUUGUUCACACACACACGGUCGUUUUGUUCACACACACACACGGUCGUUUUGUUCACACACACACACGGUCGUUUUGUUCACACACACGGUCGUUUUGUUCACACACACACGGUCGUUUUGUUCUCACACACACACACACACACACGGUCGUUUUGUUCACACACACACACGGUAGUUUUGUUCACACACACAAACACGGUCGUUUUGUUCACACACACAAACACGGUCGUUUUGUUCACACACACACACACACACAGUCGUUUUGUUCACACACACGCACACACACAUACACACACGGUCGUUUUUUCAAACACACACACACAGUCGUUUUGUUCACACACACACACACACACACACGGUCGUUUUGUUCACACACACGGUCGUUUUGUUCACACACACAUACACACACGGUCGUUUUGUUCACACACACACACACACACACACACACACACACACACACACGGUCGUUUUGUUCACACACACACGGUCGUUUUGUUCACACACACACGGUCGUUUUGUUCACACACACACACAUACACACGGUAGGUUUGUUCUCUCACACACACACGGUCGUUUUGUUCACACACACACACACACACACACGGUCGUUUUGUUCACACACACACACACGGUCGUUUUGUUCACACACACACACGGUCGUUUUGUUCACACACACACACACACACACACACACACGGUCGUUUUGUUCACACACACGGUCGUUUUGUUCACACACACACACACACACGGUCGUUUUGUUCACACACACACACACACGGUCGUUUUGUUCACACACACACACACACGGUCGUUUUGUUCACACACACACACACACACACACACGGUCGUUUUGUUCACACACACACACACACACACGGUCGUUUUGUUCACACACACACACGGUCGUUUUGUUCACACACACACACGGUCGUUUUGUUCACACACACACACGGUCGUUUUGUUCACACACACACACACACGGUCGUUUUGUUCACACACACACACGGUCGUUUUGUUCACACACACACACACGGUCGUUUUGUUCACACACACACACGGUCGUUUUGUUCACACACACACACACACACACACACACGGUCGUUUUGUUCUCACACACACACACGGUCGUUUUGUUCACACACACACACACACACGGUCGUUUUGUUCACACACACACACGGUCGUUUUGUUCACACACACACACACGGUCGUUUUGUUCACACACACACACACGGUCGCUUUGUUCACACACACACACACACACACGGUCGUUUUGUUCACACACACACACACACACACGGUCGUUUUGUUCACACACACACACACGGUCGUUUUGUUCACACACACACGGUCGUUUUGUUCACACACACACACACACACGGUCGUUUUGUUCACACACACACACACACACACGGUCGUUUUGUUCACACACACACACACACGGUCGUUUUGUUCACACACACACGGUCGUUUUGUUCACACACACACACGGUCGUUUUGUUCACACACACACACACGGUCGCUUUGUUCACACACACACACGGUCGUUUUGUUCACACACACACACACGGUCGUUUUGUUCACACACACACACGGUCGUUUGUUCACACACACACACACACACGGUCGUUUUGUUCACACACACACACACACACACGGUCGCUUUGUUCACACACACACACACUGUCGUUUUGUUCACACACACACACACACACACGGUCGUUUUGUUCACACACACACACA
rnacentral:lncRNA from 1 species